GCCGGGUGGUACGCGGGUGCCGACGUGCACACCUCCUACUACGGGAUGCCGCUGCGGCUCGCGGAGGACGGCCGGCGGUUCGACAUCUCGCCCGCCUGGCAC
rnacentral:tRNA from 1 species